rnacentral:rRNA from 1 species
GUUUGGCGGGGUUGCCUAUACAUGCAGUCGAACGCACGAAGUUGAAGAGCUUGCUCUUUAACCAAGUGAGUGGCGGACGGGUGAGUAACACGUGGGUAACCUGCCCAUUAGAGGGGGAUAACAUUCGGAAACGGAUGCUAAUACCGCAUAGUUUCAGGAAUCGCAUGAUUCUUGAAGGAAAGGUGGCUUCGGCUACCACUAAUGGAUGGACCCGCGGCGUAUUAGCUAGUUGGUGAGGUAAUGGCUCACCAAGGCAAUGAUACGUAGCCGACCUGAGAGGGUGAUCGGCCACACUGGGACUGAGACACGGCCCAGACUCCUACGGGAGGCAGCAGUAGGGAAUCUUCCGCAAUGGACGAAAGUCUGACGGAGCAACGCCGCGUGAGUGAAGAAGGUUUUCGGAUCGUAAAACUCUGUUGUUAAAGAAGAACAAGGAUGAGAGUAACUGCUCAUCUCCUGACGGUAUUUAACCAGAAAGCCACGGCUAACUACGUGCCAGCAGCCGCGGUAAUACGUAGGUGGCAAGCGUUGUCCGGAUUUAUUGGGCGUAAAGCGAGCGCAGGCGGUUCUUUAAGUCUGAUGUGAAAGCCCCCGGCUCAACCGGGGAGGGUCAUUGGAAACUGGAGAACUUGAGUGCAGAAGAGGAGAGU